rnacentral:rRNA from 1 species
UACAGGGGGGGCAAGCGUUGUUCGGAAUUACUGGGCGUAAAGGGCCAGUAGGCGGCCAACUAAGUCCGACGUGAAAUCCCCAAGCUUAACUUGGGAACUGCGUCGGAUACUGGAUGGCUUGAAUUCGGGAGAGGGAUGCAGAAUUCCAGGUGUAGCGGUGAAAUGCGUAGAUAUCUGGAGGAACACCGGUGGCGAAGGCGGCAUCCUGGACCAAUAUUGACGCUGAGGAGCGAAAGCCAGGGGAGCAAACGGG